GUCUAUGGCCAUACCACCCUGAACGUGCCUGAUCUCGUCUGAUCUCAGAAGCUAAGCAGGGUCGGGCCUGGUUAGUACUUGGAUGGGAGAAUGGAACUCAACAACCAAAGUGG
rnacentral:rRNA from 1 species